rnacentral:rRNA from 1 species
GACGAACGCUGGCGGCGUGCUUAACACAUGCAAGUCGAGCGGUAAGGCCCUUUCGGGGGUACACGAGCGGCGAACGGGUGAGUAACACGUGGGUGACCUGCCCUCAGCUCUGGGAUAAGCCUGGGAAACCGGGUCUAAUACUGGAUAUGACUCCAUGACGCAUGUUGUGGGGUGGAAAGCCUUGUGCGGCUGAGGAUGGGCCCGCGGCCUAUCAGCUUGUUGGUGGGGNGAUGGCCUACCAAGGCGACGACGGGUAGCCGGCCUGAGAGGGCGACCGGCCACACUGGGACUGAGAUACGGCCCAGACUCCUACGGGAGGCAGCAGUGGGGAAUAUUGCGCAAUGGGCGGAAGCCUGACGCAGCGACGCCGCGUGGGGAUGACGGCCU